rnacentral:sRNA from 1 species
AAAUCAUCAGAGUUUGCUCACUGAUCUAUCCCUCUCUUUGCUGAAGCUCUUAGAGAUGGCUUGAAUUGGGCUAUCGCCAAUGGUUUUGAUGUCUUCCCCCCGACCUUUCCGAGCAUCACACGGUGUGUGAACAUACGACUUUCUUCUACUACUGCUGAGCUUCUCUACUUAUUCCGGCCCGAGCUCGAAGGCGGGGCCCAGCCCGGACCCGAUUUUUGAAACGUCCAGUGACGCUGCGUACGCUGAUGAUCAAUCCACCCGCCGGAGCACAAUAACCUGUACACUCUCUUUUCAUACAAAAUUGCCGGCGAGCGAAUGUCUUCACUAUUUCAUCGCAAAGAAAAGUCCAAGACAAUACAACUAGA